rnacentral:lncRNA from 1 species
AAGCAACCCAGAGCCCUCCUCCCGCCUGCUCUGUGUAGGAGACAGCCUGCGGAGCCCACUGCCGGCGCGCAGAGAGCCCAGCAGCUCUUGAGUCCAGGAAGCAAGGGUGGGAGGAGGGACGAGCCAGUGGCAAUGACCCAGACCCGGACGACCCCCAUUGCUGAGCCAGCGGAGCUGCUUGGCUCAAGCAGAGUCUUCCUCCUGGUGUUCCAGAAGGAGUUCAAGGUCCUGCUCCAUAUGGGACAGCUAGAUUCUGAGGGCAAUGUUGAGAUCCUCAUCUCCAGAAGGUGCUGGUGCCAGAAAUAUGACAAAAGGCUGAUUGACGGGCCAGAUCCAAAGUCCACAAAUAUAUCAUAAAUCUGAAGAGGAACUGGGAGAAGCUUCUGCUGGCAGCUCAUGCCAUUGUUGCCAUUGAAAACCCUGCUGAUGUGUCAUAUCCUGCAGGAAUACUAGCUAGUGGGCUGUGCUGAAGUUUGCUGCUGCUGCUGGAGCCACAUGUAUUGCUGGUCACUUCACUUCUGGAACCUUUGCUAACCAGAUCCAAUCAUCUUCUGCCACCCACAUCUUCUGGUGGUUACUGAUUCUAGGGCUAACUAUCAGCCUCUCUCAGGGGCUUCUUAUGGUAACCUACCUACCUACCACUGCUGUAUGUAACAGAUUCUCCUCUGAGCUAUGUGGAUAUUGUCAUCCCAUGCAACAACAAGGAAGCUCAAUCACUGAGUCUAAUGUAGUGGAUGCUGGCCCAGGAAGCUCUGUGCAUGUGUUGCACCAUCUCCCAUGAUCAUGCCUGAUCUCUACUUCUAUAGAGAUCCUGAAGAGAUUGAAAAGGAAGAGUAGGCUGCAGCUGAAAAAGGAGGAAUUUCAAAGUGAAUGGACUGCUGUAGUGCAAGUUUACUGCUACUCAAUCUGAGGUUGCAGACUGGUUUAAAGACAUGCAGGUGCCCUCUGUGCCUAUUCAGCAGUUCCCUACUGAAGAUUGGAGCACUUAGCCUACCAUGAAUGACUGGUCUGCAACUUCCACUGCUCAGACCACUGAAUGGGUAAGAAUAACCACUGAGUGGCCUUAAGCUGUUCUUCCACAAGCUCUUAAACAAGAUGGAAAUAACGCUGAUGGAAAUAAACAACAGUUUCCAAGAAAACACGAACAGCUGAAGUGGCAAUGUUUAAGUAACAUCUGGUAGACUUUAACAUGAAUGUUAUUAAGCAGGAAAUUAUGAUCUUUUAAGUUGGAACAUGUAAUGUUAAUCCUUUUGCACCAAAAUAUCUCUUUAAGUCUAAAUUAUCCACUUUUUUUUUUAAUUCUUCGUAGAGAUAGAGGUUUCGCUUUGUUGCCCAGGCUGUUCUUGACUUCCUAACUUCAAGCAAUCCUUCUGCCUCAGCCUCCCAGAGUGCUGGGAUUAUAGGCAUUUGCCACCGUGCCUGGUGUACCCAGUUUCUGUUAUCAACAGAAUGCAGUGGUGUAUGGUUGCUAAAGGGUCCCAAGAUCAGGACCUACGUUAAGGUGGAUUUUGAAUUAUUUAAAAUUCUGAUUUUGUUUUAUUUUUAAUUAAUCUUUGGGGGAAGGAUGGGAGGGGGGUGAGGGUUGAAGAAGUAAACAUUGUACCUAUUGGAUACAAUGUUUAAUAUUUGUGUGAUGGGCACACUGGAAGCCCAAACCUCACUAUUACACAAUACAUUCAUGUAACAAGCCUGCACAUGCACCUCCUGAAUCUAUUUUUAAAAAUUUAAUUCUCUAGCACAGACUCCCUUUUUUUGGUAAGAUGGCGGGGUACGACUUAACUACUCGCAUCACGCACCUUUUGGAUCGGCAUCUAGUCUUUCCGCUCCUUGAGUUUCUCUCUGUAAAGGAGAUAUAUAAAGAAAAGGAAUUAUUACAAGGUAAAUUGGACCUUCUUAGUGAUGCCAACAUGGUAGACUUUGCUAUGGAUGCAUACAAAAACCUUUAUUCUGAUGAUAUUCCUCAUGCUUUGAAAGAGAAUAGAACCACAGUUGUUGCACAACUGAAACAGCUUCAGGCAGAAACAGAACUAAUUGUGAAAAUGUUUGAAGAUCCAGAAACGACAAGGCAAAUGCGGUCAACCAGGGAUGGUAGGAUGCUCUUUGACUACCUGGCGGACAAGCAUGGUUUUAGGCAGGAGUAUUUAGAUACAUUCUACACAUAUGCAAAAUUCCAGUAUGAAUGUGGGAAUUACUCAGGAGCAGCAGAAUAUCUUUAUUUUUUCAGAGUGUUGGUUCCAGCAACAGACAGAAAUGCUGUAAGUUCACUCUGGGGAAAGCUGGCCUCUGAAAUCUUAAAGCAGAAUUGGGAUGCAGACAUGGAAGACCUUACAUGGUUAAAAGAGACCAUAGAUAAUAAUUCUGUGAGUUCUCCACUCCAGUCUCUUCAGCAGAGAGCAUGGCUCGUUCACUGGUCUCUGUUUUCUUCAAUCACCCCAAAGGUUGUGAUAAUAUUGUUGAUCUCUUCCUUUACCAGCCACAGCAUCUUAAUGUGUCCACACAUUCUUCACUAUUUGACUACAGCAGUCAUAGCAAACAAGGAUGUUCGAAAACGUUGGCAGGUGCUAAAAGAUCUAGGUAAAGUUACUCAACAGGAGUCUUACACAUAUAAAGACCCAAUUACAGAAUUUGUUGAAUGCUUAUAGAUUAACUUUGACUUAGAUGGGGCUAAGAAAAAGCUGAGAGAAUGUGAAUCAGUGCUUGUGAACGACUUCUUGGUGGCUUGUCUUAAGGAUUUCAUUGACAAUGCCCAUCUCUUCAUAUUUGAGACUUUCUGUCACAUCCACCAGUGUAUCAGCAUUAACAUGUUGGCAGACAAAUUGAACAUGACUCCAGAUGAAACUGAAAGGUGGAUUGUAAAUGUGAUUAGAAAUGCAAGACUGGAUGCCAAGAUUGAUUCUAAAUUAGGUCAUGUGGUUAUGGUAACAAUGUACUCUCACCCUAUCAGCAAGUGAUUGAAAAGACCAAAAGCCUUUCUUUUAGAAGCUAGAUUUUGGCCAUGAAUAUUGAGAAGAAACUUAAUGACAAUAGCAGGUCAGAGGCUCCUAACUGGGCAACUCAAGAUUCUGGCUUCUACUGAAGAAACAUAAGGAAAAGAUUUUAAAAAAACUCUAAAAGAAAGAUGAAAUAAUAAAACUAUUAUAUAAAGGGUGACUUACAUUUUGGAAACAACAUAUUGAGUGUAAAUUGUGAAGAAUUGGAAUAAAAUUGACUGAUUCAAAAAAAUUUAAUUCACAAAAAAAUUUUAAUCCUUUUAAGCUAAUUAUAGAUUCACAUGUAGUUGUAAGAAGUUACAAAGAGGCUAGGUGCAGUAGCUGACGCCCAUGAUCCCCGCACUUUGGGAGGCCGAGGCAGGCAGAUCUCUUGAGGCCAGGAGUUUGAGACUAGCCUGGCCAACAUGGCAAAACCCCAUCUCUACAAAAAAUUAGCAAAGCAUGGUGGCACAUGCCUGUAAUUACAGCUACUUGGGAGGCUGAGGCAUGAGAAUCACUUGACCUGGGAUUACAAGUGUAAUCCCAGCCAUAGGCUGGGUGCAGUGGCUCACACCUGUAAUCCCAGCACUUUGGGAGGCCAAGGUACGGGUGGAUCACCUGAGGUCAAGAGUUCAAGACCAGCCUGGCCAACAUGGUGAAACCCCGUCUCUACAAAAACACAAAAAUUAGCCGGGCAUGAUGGUGCGCACCUGUAAUCCCAGCUACUCAGGAGGCUGAGGCAGGAGAAUCGCAUGAACCCAGGAGGCAGAUGUUGCAGUGAGCCAAGAUCACGCCAUUGCACUCCAGCCUGGGCAACAGAGUGAGACUCCACCUCAAAAAAAAAAAAACAAAAAAAAACCACCAGCCAUUUGGGAAGCCAAGGCAGGAUUGCUUGAGACCAACCAGAAGUUCAAGGUUGCCUGGGCAACAGAGCAAGACUGUCUCGAGACAAAACAAAAAGUCAGCAUCUUCUGCCCACUUUUACUUUAACAUACAUUUAUGGAUCUAUUGUCUCUUUCCCUGUUCUAAAACUUUAAAUUUCACAAGAAUGAAGAUUUUGCUGUCUUGUUUCCUGCUGUGUCCCCAGCAUAAACAGCAUAAAGAAGUGCCAUAAGAUAGAAAUUUUUGUUUUCUGUUCACCAGUAUAUCCACAGCACCUAGAACAGCAUCUGCUUUAGACUUAUUAGAUGAAGACUUAAAAAAAAAAGGAACAGCACUUCUGCACAUAUUUAGCACUUGAUACAUAUUUGUGGAAUAAUUUCUAUCAUAACUAGCAGCUACUUCCUAAUUUGAUAUGUAGCAUCCCGUAUUAACAGGACUUUUGUGAAUGGAGAGGACAUCUAUUUAUUCUUUGUUAUGUGCCAAAUAUAUUUGUAUUAAUCAUAACUCUUAAUAUUCCUUUAAAAUUAAAUAAUUGUUUCCACAGCUCUUAAAAUAGAAUUUAGGAACCUAGCAACAUGCCACUCAUCCAUUAACAGUGAUAAAUUAUUUAAUUUUAUAAACUUUUCAUUAAAGUAACUGAUAUAGUUUGGA